rnacentral:misc_RNA from 1 species
AUAUAUCAACCUCCUCAGGUUUUUACUUGUUGAGUGUUUGGAUGUGGGGGUAUCUUUUGCUGGUCUCUUUUUGAGGUCGGCUCCCCUGAAAUGCAUUAGCGGAACAAUUUGUUGACCGUUCAUUGGUGUGAUAACUAUCUACGCUAUUGACGUAAAGCAGGUUCAGCUUCUAACAGUCCAUUGACUUGGACAAAUUUUCAUUA